GGGAUGGGGAUAGGAAAGGAGCUGGUGAAGGCAAAAAUAUGAAGAAAGAUGGUAGAGGGUGGGGAAAGGAGAGAAUGUGCAAGAAAGACUCUGUGUUCAAAAGCUGACAAAGGAGGGAUAAAAUGUAAAGCUAUGCCAAGGCCUGAAAUUGCAGAGCAAGAAGAGCUGAUAAAAAACAAACAAAACAUUUUUAGUCAUCAGGCUAAAAGCCAUCAAGGUACUUCAGACAUGGGGUAAGAAAUAGCUGGCUUGAAUUACUCACCCACACCCUUUCUUUCUUGGGCAUAUCUCAGAAAGUAUUUGGUGCCCCAGCAGAAGCAGAUGAGGAAAAGGCUCUACAAGAACCAGGUGCUAGAUGGGAGAGUGAAGGCAGAACAGAAGACUCAUGGUCAGAGAUGGCCAAAAUUCACCGGUGAGUCAAAGUGAGGAAGAACAGGGAUCUUCAGUGAAGCAUACAAGUGAUUAUUACCAGCUGGAAACUGGGGCAUAAAGUAAGCUGUCUCACAUAUAACCUGAUAUAGAGUCCACAGAAGUCAGUGGGAACUUCUAAGGAAAAAAAAAAAGGUGACUCUGGAACAGGAGGGAGCAAGACAAUAGUUCAUCUACAGGGGUGUGAAAAUCAAAAGGAGUGAGGCUUGGAGAUUGUGUGCUGAAGGAACACCCAAAAGUUUUGAUUAAGCCAGGUCCUUAACCUUACUCCUCAUUGACAAUGGAACUCCCUAUGGGGCAUGAUUACAGGUUUGCCUUUGUUCUUUCAAAAGUUAUUGACUUCUAGAAACCUGGAGGAAAAUGUAAUUCUGGAAAUAAAUAUAUGACUAUAAUUAAUAUUCUAAUAAUAAGAACCCCUUAAGUGUUCUUUCACAGAGAAAAGCUGCAUAGAAGCCCCAGGCUCCUUCCGACAUGAAAGACAUGACAUUGUCUUUUUAAUUGUUUUUGUUUUUUUGAUAUUAUGCAUAUUGAAUCCACUUUGCCUGAAACCACUGGGUCAGGAAAAAGGCUAUAAAAAAUGAAGGUGAUGGGUUUCAUAGAGACAGAAACCUGAAAAAAACCUUUUUUUGCUAUUAUUAGACAAGGUUAGAGUCUUCUCCUAGCUAAAUUCUGACUCAGAGAAGUAUAAUGACCCUAAAAUCUCUCCGCUGCUUCACGGGACACUUAGGUCACGUCAGUGUGUGAUAUUAAAGAAGCACCCUAUUUCAUUCCAGAAGUGUUUGCAGUUUAAAAAUGGAAGAAGAGAUUUGCCGCAUGGUUGGUAUAUCAAUUCAUAAACUGUUCUGAAAUCCUUUGGGGGUGCAAGACGUUAUAGAAAUGCAAGAUAUCAUCAUCUUUGGGCCAGAGAGCUCCGAUUGUUUGUGCAAGCAAGGAGGAAUCAGAUCUCGUCAAAAUCCACUGGGUGUGCUGAAAUGAGGGAAGAUGGAAAAUGCAACAAUCUGGAUCUUUAACCCAAGUCUGCCUGAAGCAGCUUUAACUCAGGCUGGAUACAGGCAGCCCCUCCUCCCUUCUCAUCGCCACAGAGGGCGGUUUUUAGACUAGUAUCAGAUGCCUUCCCACUGACAGAAUAGUUUCUGAAGACAAGGAGAAGUGAUCCCCCACUUUCUGUGGGUUCUGGCAAUCUACUUAUGUAGGACGCUGCACCUCGUACCCCUUCCAAGGACACCUUUCCCCCUGCCGACUUCGCCCCCACACCUUCUCAAAUGAAGAAUUUGAACCCUGCUAAAGGAUCCCCAACAGGAAGAAAGAGUUUAUUGUUUCUGUGAAUUCAUUUCCUUCCCGGAUUUGAAGACUGAUAGACUCCUAGUGUGGAAAGGAAUAUGCCAAUAAAGCAAUUGUCCUGAUUAUCAGAGGGAUACACUUUGCUGGGAGAUAUUUACUUUUAUUUAAUUAAGCUGCUUUAAUAAGAAGAUGAGUGAGUCUAUGCUGUGUCACGUGUUACAUAGUCCAGCAGUGGCCUCCCAAUCCUGCAGGGAGAGGAAGAGCCUCUCCGCAGCCUAUUUGUCAACUUCACCUUCCCACGAGCUGUUCUUUUGAAAUUCCCCCAUCCUGUAUCAAGAGAAUCAAGAGAGAAUGCUUCACCAGCAUGCAGGGUGAUAAGAGGAAGGGAAGCCCAGAAGUAGUUCUCCCACUUAGCAAACACUUAAACCUGACCAUGAAGCUCCUCAGCAUAAGUUGCCAAGAACCCAGCAAGUUUCAAAUUUCUAUGGACAAAAGGUAAACAUCCUGGCUGAUGCAGAUGACCUAAUUCUUCUUGCAAGCCAGCUUAAUGAAUUCUAGAAGAUGGUGGAUGUCAAUUACAAAGUGUCUGGCUACAUCUCAGUUUCAAUACAUUGAAUUGUGCCUCACAACAUACUUACUGCCUAAAGAGAAGAUCCAACAUAGCCACCACCAUCAUAAUCCAGGGUGAAACCAUGAGGUUCAUUAGAAACAAGACAAUUCAUAAGAAAGUGGACAGUGAGAUUCUGCAGAGCCUUAAGAAGUGGAUGUCUCUAUUGCUGUGGGACAGCAAUGAGGUCCUGCACAUCCCCUACAGGCAGGGGUUACCAACAUCCCUCACAUGGGAGAGCUGUGACAUUGUCAUACUGACCCAUGCCUUCUGCCUCCUAACCUGCCCAAGUGAGCUGGUAAGCAGUAUUGGCACAAAUACUCUAAGGGAAACCACCAAGAGGAGGAUUUCUAGGCCACCAUCCAGUGAUGACUUGGCCAUGUUCCCAAGUAGGUUGCAGAGGGAUCAGUUCAGUCAAGACAGCAGAAAUUUUGCCUCACUGUGGCCACAUGCCUGCAAUGCCACACACCACUUCAGGAAGCACAUCAGCUGCCACUGGACACCAUGCAAGUAGCAGCAGGAGGUAUGGAGGGAUGGGGAGAUGUCAGUGUAUCCAACCCCAACCACCAACCAGAUUGUGGCCACUCCUCAAGUGAGGACCUGUGGAGAGGGUCCUGAAAGGCCUAAGGCCCACCUGGCUAACUAGUAGCCCCUAUUGUAUGGGGGCUAAUUAAUGGGUGAAUGCUACAACAAAAUGCUUUGGACAACUAAUGAAAAAAACAGGAUAGGAGUGUCAUGUGGGUCAAAGGGUCAAAACGUGAAAAUAAGUGUGCCUCAGGGAGACACUGAGCAGAGCCCCCUGGGCCACACCCACCAGUCCUCAAAGGCAUCCAAGGACCCAGUGGACAUUGCUCAUUGGUGCUCUGCUCAGAAAUGUGCACGGAUUGAAAGGAAAGUGGCCCUGCAGUCUCCAGGCACCUUCCUGGCCAGAGCCUCCUUCCUAGUUAUGUACAGGGCCCACUUGGCCAGGGCCAGGAGGAGGUUGACCAGGAAGUCCCAGGACUUGGUGGGAGCAUGGAUGGGGUGACCAAAACCAAAAAGUUGGGGGGUGAGAUUCAACCAGAAUCUCAGGAGGAGGUUCUGGAGGUAGAGGGGCUGCAGCCUGGUGCACUUGAGGGUCAUGUGCACCGAGGUCUCCCUCUGCCCACAGAAGAGGCAGGAGACCGGGAUGUCCAUAAAGCUUGCCUGUGGUGCUGGCUCCAUGGCGGAGCCACCACCUGAGGUCCCCAGUGGCUUGUGGGAUGAGGGUGGAGAGUACAGACUCAGCCACUGGGGUGUGAAGGGGAAACCUGACCAGGCCAAAGUCUUUGAGAUCACCUUGAAGUGGGAUGCCAGAAAUUACUCCUGGCCUUAAGGCAAUUUCACUUGCUUUGUGGACUGUGGUUUCAUCAACUGAGCAUGCAUCAACUGCCUCCACUCAACAGCACUAUCUGCUAUGGCAACUAGGACAAGAAAUGUCAGAGAUGUGGCUACAAGAAUGAAACCCUGCCCAAGUCCUGUGUGGCUACAAGGGCAUGGCAACUUUGCCAUAAUACCACACAGGACUGGCUGAUCAGGGCCAUCUUAGCAUCAGUUGCAGCAGUGGCCAUGUACCAAACCAUCCCAGCCUGUGGCAGCCCAUUAAAGUCAGACAUUGUUGUGACCAAUAAGAUCAGUAAGAAAAUCAUGAUUAUCAGUGUGACCAUCUCCUUUUAGAACCAGUGGCAGGUUUUCACUUAAGCCCAUGAGCAAGAACUAGUGAAGGGCAGCCCACCUUGAGGGAGAAGAGGAAUGACGUAACAGUGCAAGUUUUGAAUUUUGGUGCACUCAGCCCAUGGGACCUGAAUGAUAAGAGUGUCCUGAGUACUUGCAGAAUACCCCAACAAUACUUCAAAGCUGAUGGGUGCCUCAUGGUAUCACAUACCAUCAGAGAGUCCAGAGACAUUUAUAUAGAAGGCAUCAUUGACCAUCACUAGCACAAGGAGAAUCAUCCAGGAAUACCUACCAGAAGUGAGGUCGCAGGGGCAAGGGGAAUGGACUGAAAGUGACACUUCUUAUGCUAUGGACUCUCUGAAAGACUCAAACAUUACAUAUAGCACUUUACCUUGGGCAAAUGUAGCCUGCAUGGUAAAUGCACUGCCUAAAAACACUCUACUAAUCCCUCAACUUUGCACCAAUAUGAUUACCAUGCACAAGCUCUUGUAACUAUAUCAUACCCUAUAAAAAAAUAACAUUUUCUUAAUAGAGAUGACAUUUGAGCAAGAGGGUGUGGUGUAGUUCCAGGUAUGAUAAAGUCAGAAGAAGUCACUGCCUGUUUUACUAAAUACAGAUGGACCUCUCAGGACUCUCAAGGGACUGGUGAUCUAGGAUGACAGACUAGGUUGUUUAUUGUUUUUUUCAUGAUCCAUACUCUUGUACUUUGCCUUUUAAAUAAAAAGCAAUGGUGUAUUUAGGAACUCUGUGCAACCCCCCCCCCCCCCCCCCCCCGAUCUGUAUUUGUCUGUGGGCUUCUAUUUGGCUUUAGUGUAAAUUACUAAGGAAAUCUUGCAGACCUGGCUUGAAGAUUAAUGCAAAUAACAUCUGGUUUCCUGCCAGGUGGUCUCAGGGGGAAUAUUGGCUCUUGAGAACUUAUUUUUUUUAUGUCCUUCUGUAGAUCUCUCUAAACAGAAGAAAAGAGCUGUUUUGUGCCAGUCAUAAUCGGGAAACUUUAAAUAGCAACGUGAAAAGAACAAAGUUUGACUGUAAUUUGGAAGAUAAUGAAAAAAAAAGAUGUAAAGCAGUAAAUGAGCUUGGAAACAGUUUCAUGUUUAAAAAAGCAAUAAACAGAGUGGCUGUAUCUAUUAAGCAGUUAAUUUCUAUAUACAGAGAUGGAUGUCACAGUGGGCAAACAAACAAAUGCCAUUUAUGCUAUAAGGCAACAUUUUCCAAAGUGGUGGGACAUUCCCCUAUGGGAGCAAGGCAAAACACAAGGACUAGCAGAAGGUGUAAACAGACAACUUAGUUGUUCUCUUGUGGCUCGGUUUUAAUUAAAAGGGGAAAAGUGUUUACUAUGACUGUGAUGCAAAUGGAAGUGAGAUUUGCUCAUGAAAGCUUAUGUAUUUCUGAUUCAGUUAGUCUAGAUAAGGUGCCUCUCUACUCCUACUUGGAUAUUCAGGACAGAGUUCUGAGUUAGCAUGACUGAAAUGAACAGGACAGUUUAAUGCAGAUAUCAAUAAAAUUUUAACUUUAAGUGUUUACUACUCAAAGCCUAUAAGAAAGGACAGGAAGUUCCAUAUGAAGAUCUACUGCCAUGUUUUUUUAGGAGCUGGGUGUUGGGGGUGAGUAGAAAACACCAUAUGGUUCAGAUAGGUGUAAAUAAAUAUGUGUAGGUGUUUAUCAAAAUGUGAUAUGAUGUACGUGUGUGUGUGUGUGGGGGGGAUUAUAUUUAAUAUUUGGAAACAGGACUGUACUCUUGUGAAAAUACAUUAUUGCAAACCUCAGGUAUUCAAAAAAAGAGGAUGAAGACACCUCCACCCUCAAAUCAUAUUGGACUUCUCCUUCUCCCCCCUAAAAAAACAAUCAGGUUUUGAGAAUUAAGUUCUUUUUGAUUGCCUUCUGGGUUUUGAACUGUUGGGGGCAGGGUCACAUAGUCAAGCUUUUCUCUUCAACCAUGAAGUCUGCAAAAUAAAAACUGCAGUUCUCAUAAAAUAAAAUAUCUCCCAAGAGAAACCUCAGGGGAUCAUGUAAUAAAAUCAUGAGCGUUGGCGAUUCUAAGACUUUUAGUUCCUAUCAAUGGUUCCCCUUCCUUCACACUGAGAAACAUCUAAACGUAGAGCCAAGAAAAGAAAAAAAAGAAAAAAGCUAAAGGUAUGGGUUAUGUUAGUAGUUUUGGAAGGCUGUAUACAAUAAGAUGCACUGGAGGAGUUAUUAGAACCACUUCUUCAGCUCAGCAGGCAAGACCUUUACACAGACAUCUGGCUGUCUCUCCCCUGUAUUUAUGUUGGUAGAACUAGUCUAUUAUCUGGUAUGUUUGUUUCUAUAUUUCCUGGAGUGUGGGGUGUAAGGCCAUACAUCCACAAAAGCCUGGAUUAGAGCUUUCUGGAUUAUAUAUUGCCCUAGAUGUAAGAGUAUUUGGGAGUUCUGAAUUCAAAUGAACAUUGCUAUGGAAAGAGUUGAUGAAAAGGGACUACCUUAUGGGCUAUUUCACUUAUUAUAAAACAGAAUUAUUGGAUGCUACUACUGAAUCUUCUUUAUGCAAGGACAAAUCCUAAAUCUUCAGUGCAAUUUGGCUGGCAUGAUACAGGCCUCUCCCAUUUUUUCCCCCUACAAUUGAUCAGAAAUCAAGCUUUCAUGUAGUCUACAGCCUAGUUUAAAAGCAUUUAGGACCAGAUCCAGAUUGAUCCUGUUGAUGCCAAAAUGGGACUUUGGUAGAAUUAGCCAUCUAAGUUCCAGACUGGCCCUAUA